CAGAAUGCUCUUCUCUGUCCACUGAAUAGUCCAACACAGAAUCAUUCCUCUGUGAUUAUUUGUGCUUUGUUAUGUAGAACUGGAAUAAAGAAAAAGUGAAUUUAGACAUUACAGCCAUCAGGUUGAAGCUUAGUAAUUGCAUUAGGGAAUUAAAUGGAAGCAUUUGAGCUUCUCGAGUUCUAAUUCCACAUCUUCGUAUCCCCAUCACCCCCAUACCCAGUGUCUAACAGAGCUCUUGGUCUAGGAGUUUCUUGAUAAAUGCUUACUGAAUUGAACUGGACUGAGCUUAACAUUCCCACCCAGAGUUAGAAGCCAGUCCCUGAAUAAAUUGCAUUUAGAAUAUGAGUUUGAUGUUACUGUGGUAAGGGGUAUCCUACACGUCAUAAUUCCUAGUCAAUAUCGGGUAUUUAGUCAAAUAGACUCAAGUAUAGAGAAGCAUAGGCCCAUCUGGCAAAAGGGCAAGGCACGCUGCUUUAGGUCCAGGUCCCCAAUAUCAACUAUGAAAAUAAAACGUCAACUCCAAUGACAGCCCUGUCCUCAGCUGGUCACUGUUUAUGCUAACAAUUAUAAACAGCUUGAACUUGCUGUCCUGAGAGGCAACACACCCUCCAUUCUCUCUGCAGUGUAGCUGCCUUGGUGGAUGGAACAUGCCCCUCCUCCUUCCCUCUCCCUAUUCCUCCCUCCCCCCUCCUCUCUCCCUCCCUCUCCCCUCCUCUCUCCCUCCUUCCCCUCUCCUUCUUCCUAUCUUCUCUCACCUUUCUCCCCCCACCUUCUCUCCUGGACAAGGGGCAGAAGAGAGGAGAUCUCCGGAAUCUUCUGCUUCAUCCAAGCAGCUUGGGGGCAGCAUCAACAGCUGCAAUUUGGCUGCCCCAGCAGGUGCCUCAGGGCAGCCUUUCUAAUGGGAAUCCUGGAAUCAUGUCUUUCCUUAAUGUGUCCUAAAGGCUGGAGGACAUGAAGUGAAACAAUGCUCCAUGCUCAGUCCUGUGAUUUUGUGUAAUUAUUGGACUUACUUUGAAAUUAAGGUAAAUGAUACCCAAGGUAGAGCAUGAAAAAAAAGAAAAAACAGGCUAUGGUGUUUGAAAAACAAACAAAACCAUUUGGUUUGUUGGUUUGUUCUUAGACCUUCACAGGCUCCUAGGUCACACGUUUCAGUUUCUUAGCAAGUGGCAUUCUCUGCAGAAGCUGUGUCAGUCUCUGUUUGAUGAUGUCAGCCACAGCAGAAAGAAGCACUCCGUAGGCCCCGUGCUCAGCACCUUGGCGUGAGCUCCUGCCAUCUUCUGUUCAUGCUCAUCACAGCUCUGUGCAGUGGGCAUCCUCCUGAUCCCUGUGGGAGGAUGGAGGAUGGAGGCGGAAGGGUGAGUGAUGGCAGGAUCACAUGAGGGGUCUCUCCCGAGGUAGGGAGGGGAACUGGCCCAGGACCUUAGUGCCCAUCGCAUCCUUCUUCCUCCUCCUCUGCCUCUCUGUGACUGUUUGACUCAGGCUGCAGGGACAGACAUGAGUAUGUGCAGAGCCUGUGUGCACCCCUGGGAAUGUGUGCUCAUAUUGGCAGGGAGGGAUGUGAGUGUGUACAGAGCGUGUGUGCACACCUUGGCGGUGUAUGCCGGCGUUGGCAGGGACAGAUGUGUACAGAGCGUGUGUGCACACCUCGGGGUGUAUGCUGUCGUUGGCAUGGACAGACGUGAGCGUGUACAGAGCGUGUGUGCACACCUGGGGGUGUGUGCUGGUGUUGAUAGGGACAGAUGUGUACAGAGCGUGUGUGCACACCUGGGGGUGUGUGCUUAUGAUGUUUUGUAACCGGCAAAUACGUGGCCUGUUGCAUCGGGCGGCCCUGCGCCCAUGCUGAGCCCGUCAGUGGCCCUCGGGUUGGGGUCUCCAUCUGCCCAGACAGCACUCGAGUGGCUUGAGGUUUCAGAUUCUUCCUCUACGGAUACUUGGGCUUCCUCAGGACCAAACAUCAGAACCAGCCAACUGCAAACUACAAGAACGUUCAAAUGCAUCUUCAGUAGGAAAAACAAAAGCAAUUGGAAAAAUUUUCCAACGUGACCCCGUGGUUAAGCCGUUAGAUACUCCAGCCAACAGAUUGAGUCACUUUAAAAUUCACACCAAUUAAAAUGGUUGUGAGAGUUGCAGAGCUUUACCGCUAAACCUUGAAAUAAUUGAAGCAUUCUGCUCCACUUGCUUACAAACUAGAGUUGGGGAUACCUUUCAGUCCAAAGUAGCAACCUUCUAAAUCCAGCUUAGAUGCGAGGCUCCCACUGACACAGGAAGAGACAGUGGCCCUUGAUUAUUCUCCUGUGUUCAGAUACUGUGUCAUUUUUUUUUUUUUUUUUUUUUUUUUGUAUCCUGAUCAUCACUUCUGCUUUUCCAAUUCAAACUAAAGGGAGUUUAGUUCUGUUUUGGAGAAGCUGUGGUUAGUAGUUUCUUUUCAUGGUUUGCUUAAUCUCUUAAGUCUGGUGCUUACAUUACCCAAAUAGACUUUUCUUUAGUACGACAGUGCCAUAACCCAGGGCUUCUCCCUCCAUAUCUGCUCCCCAGGGGCUCCCUAGGAAUGGGCGCUGGAGAUCCAGCCCCCCUCCAUGUGCCAUUUUCUUUGAGUCCAAGGUAGCUUUGGCUCAGAGAAGAAAAGAGGCCUCCGGGUUAGGUGCCUCUGACUGCUUGCUUGUGAAAUGUUUAAUGAUAAGGCGACUUCCAAACUAAUUUACACAUUGAUAGUUGUAGCUUGAAGUAUCACCGCAGUCAUAAGAACAAGAAACACUCCCAUAAAGUAGAUAAGCAGAAAAAAGCCAUAGAAGUUUAAUAAAGCGCAAAUAAAAUGGUGUUGUAAGAAUGUCCAGUGGGAAAUGCUCUCAGUCCAGCCAGAUCCAGCUGUGGCGUCAGUCCAGCUGUGGUGUCCUCCUGUAAAAACAUUCAGCCACAUGUGGCCCUGAUCGCAAUCACUACUCUGAAUUGUGAUCCAGAAUGUUCUUGGGGGCCGAUGCUGGGACUGUUCCAGCAGUUCAAUCUGAUUGGGCGUCACGGUGGUGAUGUGCUUAGCGCGGCCAGCUGGGCUGAGUGGUGGCCACCCGUGCACUCGCCACGUGCAGCCGUUAUUCUGGUGAUGGGGUUGCAUGCGCCACGGCUUGUCCACCUGGGCUAUUAAAGUACUGGGAACCCAACCGCGGGCGGUGCCUCCCGAUAUGGGAGCUGUCUUUUUUAUCCAGGGCCCUCUGGCGCUGCAGAACCCUGCUGCCAGUCUGAGCUCACAAGGAGGUACCGGAGGGCUCUGCUGGGGCAUGGAGGUCCCUGAGCAGGUGGUCACUUAUUGCUUGUGGAGUGGUCCAUGGCCUGUGAGUUUAUUCUCGGGGUUUGUGUGGGCGAGGUUAACCAGUUCACAGCUGGGCACUUACCCCUUACACAGGUGACACUAGUUAAAGUGGAAUCUAUAUUAGCUCACACGGGAGUGUGUGAGGAGCUGGGAGGGUGGGGAGGCUUGGCCUUAGCACUAGAUUCCCGGGCUCCUGACAUUUCUGCGUCUUCCAGUUGAGGGGCCGUCAGAGCCGCUGUGGGUCCUGAAGACAGUGGGUGCCAUAUGGACCAGGGGAUGCAGAAGCCUCUAGAGGCUGCGGGAGGCAAGGAGACGGUCGCUUCCCCAGAGCCAGCCCUGCCGCCACUUCGACGUUAGAUGGUGGGACCUGUUUUGGACUCCAGCUUCCAGAAAUGUGAGAAAAUAAGUCAGAGUUUAGGGCGCUAAAUUUGGGGUGAUUUAGUGGAGAAAUAGAAAACUAGCCCACAAAUGUGCACGCAUUGAAAUGUGCUCUGUCCAGGUGUUCACAGUGGUGUGAGGGAGAUGGCAUCAGGGUUCUGGGAACUGUGCAGUUUUACUGAAGGAAGGGGGCUCGCCACGCCUUUCCUCAUAUAACUGAAGUGCCCAGGAGGCUGAUGCCACAUAGAAGACCUGCAGGUCGAUGGAUGUGAAACAGGCAUCGGACACGCUGUGCACCUUGGGACCCAUCUGAGAAGUACGUGCUUGCAGCAGGUCUGAGAUUCUGUGGCCAAAAACUUACCCGUGGACAUUGAGGGUGAUGCACUUCUGCUCCAAGACGUCUGUGGACUCAGCUAGAGGGAUGGAAAGGAUAUGGAGCCUCUUCACUCUUGGCCUGGGCCUGGACCUGCUGUGUAGCCUCUCAGUGGCACCAGGGCCCCCUUGUGUCACAGCAGUCUCAGGUUGGUGGCACUGCCCCAGGAUGUCCCAGGCUUCAUGAUGUCCAGGCUCCUCUGGCAUGGCGGCCUCAGAUUUCUUUGCAUCGUCUCCCUUAUCCAGAAGUGAGGGUGAACGCUGAGUUAUUCACGGGAGUCAAGAAACCACACGCAGCCCAAAGAGACGUUUGUUUCCCUGGAAUGAUUUGUGUGUGUUCACCUUAAAAUGCAACUUAGUAAAACAGGUGUGUUUUGAGGAAUGACUUUAAAUUACCCAGGUAAAAAUGUGACAGUUAAAUUUCAUCGUCUGUGCGGGUGUCCACAACCCCCUUCUGUGAUUGCGUGUGAGUUUGUGACUUGUGGUUAUUUUUGAAGAAAGAAAAUCUGUUGCUGAGGACUUCAGAGGGUGUGCUGGGAUUGUGUAGGGUGGACAUCGGGGGCUUCAGUCUGUGGCUUCCUUGAAGAGGUUCAAAUUAAGGCUGAGAGUCCCUACUCCAAAAUGCUCUGAAACCUGAAACAUUCCGAGCUUUCCCAUGACACUCGAAGGAAAUACUCUUCAGAGCACUUUGGAUUUCAGGCUGGGGAUGCUCAACUGGAAAGUGAAAUAUUGCAAGACCCUUCUGGCCCCAGGAGCUUGGAUAAGGACAUGGAGGGGGCCUGUGCCGGGUGUCCCUGGUGUGUGAGGCAGCCUGGGCUCGCUGGACUGGUUUUUGUAGGAGCCACAGAAGGGAAAGAGGGUCAAAGUGGCCACGCCUGACUCCUGAGAAGGCUGAACCAGAAGGAGGUGGGCACGGAGGGCAGCAGUUGAGUCCCCAGCGUCCGGGGCUCCUGUCCCUGGUGGAGUUGAGAGCCUCCUCUAGUUGUGGCCUCUCCCCUGUCAGCAGCCACUGAGGCCUGAAGGGAGAGGGGGCUGAGGAGAGGAGGGAAGGAUAGGCCUGCUUCUGGAGAGGGCCGGCGUCGGCCUGUGCUAGCCUCAUGUGCUACUCCGGCAUCCAGGGUGCACGGCCGUGCCUCGUGGUGUAGUGGUUCCUGGGAUGCACAGCACUCUUGUCUGCAGUAACGUCUUUGUCUCCAACCCUUGGAGGCAAGUUACCUUUUUCCCCAGUGAAAAGAGGUAGAAAAUCUUAUAGAAAUGCAUUUGCUCUAAUGUCUGUUUUCCGAUAAGAAGUGGUCGCUUAGGCUAAAUCUUUGGGAGGUCAAGACAGGAGGAUCACUUGAGGUGAAGGGGUUGAAGAUCAGCCUGGACAACAUAGCAAGACCCCAUCUGUAUAACAGAAAAAUUAGCUGAGUGUGGUGGUGCGUGCCUGUGGUCCCUGCUACUCUGGAGGCUGAGGUGGGAAGAUCACUUAAGGCUACAGUGAGCUGCGAUUGCUCCGCUGUACUCCAAUCUUGGCGACAGAGCCAAGACCCUGUCUCAGAAAGAAAAGUUAAAAAAAAAAAAAUCCAGAAAUGUCAUUUUCUUUUUAAAUCAUCCCAAAAGAAAAACCUUUUUUUCUAAGAAUGUGAAGGGUAACUGAUACGAUUCUUUCCUUGCAUUGUUUCUCCUUUUCAAAUAUUUACAGUAGUCCGUCCACAUCAUCUCUCAUCUCUCAUCUCAUUACAGAGCAGCAGGUUUCUUUGAGGUUAGUGGUGUUUCUCUGUGUUGCACCUUGGAGAACAGCCAGCAUGAAACCUCUUACCACGAUCAUGCGCAUUGUUUGUAGUCUCAAUUCAAAUCCUCUCCAGAGACGCCUGUGCUACUUAUUAUAGCAGAACUUUGGUUGCGCUGACAUGUGCAUUCAGCUAACGGUUUUAAGUUCAUAUCUGAGAUGAUGCUGUAUAAUUCAUGAAGCAUAUGGGAUCAGUAAUGAUUGAUGAUAAUUCUGGCUGAUGUCAUUUAGAGGAUAUUUUUCACUUCAAAUUAAAACUUCCUUCGCGAUAGUCAUUUUGGGAUUCAUUUAACUAUGUGCUUUAUUUCAUAGCUCAAAUUUUCAUUAGUCAUUUCAUAACACAGGAUUUUGAAAGCAGACUUGGCAAAAUCUUUCUAACAAAAUGUUUGCUUCUGACGUCCCAAGGAACAGCACUCAGAAUUGCUGGUAACUGUGGUACAUUUUAAGGCUGAUGAUAGAAGUCACUUGAACGGUAAGGGCUGCUUUGUGAGGCAGAUGGGGUUUGAACCCCGACCCUCCUGAUACACCAGUCCUGACCCUGGCCUUCUCUCCUCUCCACUGGGAGAUGAGAAGGGUGCCAGCAUCCACCUCACAGGCCGUCCUGAGAACCUGGGACUAAGGGCUUGUGUUCCUCUUGCAGGUGGCGCAGAUGUGGGAGCUUGACGAUAUACACACUGCAGGCUGCCAGUGUCGGGGUAAUCCAGUUUUAUUCAUAAAGGGGGGAUUUGCUUUGCUCCCCUGCAGACCAGGUGCAGUGCUGCUGUUGUAGCAAGUGUGUGGAUCCUCUUGGGUGGUCCUCAGGUGGACAAGGAGUCACCGAUUCGGAUUCCCAGUGUUAGAUAUGAGGGGACCAAGGACCUCAUGUGUUCAGAGGGGAGGAGUAAAAAGCUUCCCUUGUAAUUCCAGGACUGUCUAUCCCAGGAAUGCCAAACCACUGGCUUUCACCUGAUGCUGUCGUAGGUGACACUGUAUGGAAAUGAGGACUCAUAUUUCGCAUACCUGAGCACUCAGUGCCCAUCUCCCUCCAGGGCCGUGGCCGAGCCCUCUUGAUUUCUCUGGGUUGCCACCUGGGGAUCUGUAAGCCCAGUGUCGUCUCUGGUCUCGGCCCCCGCUCCCCAUAGGGACAGGAGAUGGCUUCAGGAGGCUGGUGAUGAAUGCCUGAAUGAAGUCGACUUGUGACUGCAGUUCUGUCUAAGGGCCUCCCCGGGUGUUAGAUGUCAGUAAAUGACACCUGUGUGUGGAUCUCAUGUGAUGAGAGAAACAGUGGGGGAAACCAAA